GUGUCAGCAGCCGCGGUAAGACGUAGGAUGCAAGCGUUGUCCGGAUUUAUUGGGCGUAAAGAGUUCGUAGGCGGUUUGUUAAGUCUGAUGUUAAAGACUGGGGCUCAACCCUGGGAGUGCAUUGGAUACUGGCAGACUGGAGUGCAGUAGAGGCGAGUGGAAUUCCCAGUGUAGCGGUGAAAUGCGUAGAUAUUGGGAAGAACACCGGUGGCGCAGGCGACUCGCUGGGCUGUAACUGACGCUGAGGAACGAAAGCCAGGGGAGCAAAUGGGAUUAGAUACCCCAGUAGUCC
rnacentral:rRNA from 1 species